rnacentral:lncRNA from 1 species
AAUUUUCAGCCUGUUUUUGUCUUUUGUCUUUUUUUAUUUAUUAUUUUCUUCUUCUUAGUUUAUCUAUUUACUUUUGUUCUUUCUUUUAUUUCCAUUAGUUUUUUUAAUUCUUUUACCUUUUGUGUUGAUAGUGUACACCCUCCCUUGCAUUUUCUUUUAUUAUUCUUUGUUUUUUUUGUUUUUUUGUUUUAUUUUCUCAACAUUAUUCACGCCUUUGAUCUCGAUUAUGUCAUCUUG